rnacentral:rRNA from 1 species
AGUGAACGCUGGCGGUAGGCCUAACACAUGCAAGUCGAACGGCAGCACAGUAAGAGCUUGCUCUUACGGGUGGCGAGUGGCGGACGGGUGAGGAAUACAUCGGAAUCUACUUUUUCGUGGGUGAUAACGUAGGGAAACUUACGCUAAUACCGCAUACUACCUACGGGUGAAAGCAGGGGAUCUUCGGACCUUGCGCGAUUGAAUUAGCCGAUGUCGGAUUAGCUAGUUGGCGGGGUAAAGGCCCACCAAGGCGACGAUCCGUAGCUGGUCUGAGAGGAUGAUCAGCCACACUGGAACUGAGACACGGUCCAGACUCCUACGGGAGGCAGCAGUGGGGAAUAUUGGACAAUGGGCGCAAGCCUGAUCCAGCCAUACCGCGUGGGUGAAGAAGGCCUUCGGGUUGUAAAGCCCUUUUGUUGGGAAAGAAAAGCAGCAGGUUAAUACCCCGCUGUUCUGACGGUACCCAAAGAAUAAGCACCGGCUAACUUCGUG